rnacentral:rRNA from 1 species
AGUCGAGGGGCAUCAGUUUGGUUUGCUUGCAAACCAAAGCUGGCGACCGGCGCACGGGUGAGUAACACGUAUCCAACCUGCCUCAUACUCGGGGAUAGCCUUUCGAAAGAAAGAUUAAUAUCCGAUAGCAUAUAUUUCCCGCAUGGGUUUUAUAUUAAAGAAAUUCGGUAUGAGAUGGGGAUGCGUUCCAUUAGUUUGUUGGCGGGGUAAUGGCCCACCAAGACUACGAUGGAUAGGGGUUCUGAGAGGAAGGUCCCCCACAUUGGAACUGAGACACGGUCCAAGCUCCUACGGGAGGCAGCAGUGAGGAAUAUUGGUCAAUGGACGCGAGUCUGAACCAGCCAAGUAGCGUGAAGGAUGACUGCCCUAUGGGUUGUAAACUUCUUUUAUAUGGGAAUAAAGUGGUCCACGUGUGGAUUUUUGUAUGUACCAUAUGAAUAAGGAUCGGCUAACUCCGUGCCAGCAGCCGCGGUAAUACGGAGGAUCCGAGCGUUAUCCGGAUUUAUUGGGUUUAAAGGGAGCGUAGGCGGAUUGUUAAGUCAGUUGUGAAAGUUUGCGGCUCAACCGUAAAAUUGCAGUUGAUACUGGCAGUCUUGAGUGCAGUAGAGGUGGGCGGAAUUCGUGGUGUAGCGGUGAAAUGCUUAGAUAUCACGAAGAACUCCGAUUGCGAAGGCAGCUC